GAUGGCGAUAUAAUAAAUUCAUAAUAAGCCUUGUGAGGCCACAUAUGAUCACAUGUAGUAUAUUUUUAUCUAAGGACAAAAUUGUUCGGUUUGAAUAUACGUGCACUUUAUAAGAAACACAUCAUGCGGUGGAUAUGCGACAAUUAAACCUUUAUUUUCUAUUUAAAUAUUUAUAAACGUGAAUAUACGACUUGCUUUAACGAUACAAGCGUUAAUUCGUUACUGAUAGGAUCAUGCGGCAGCAAUGAAUAGGACACUCCUCGUUCUCUGGUUGCUUGAUGUGGCGACUGCAGAAGUGGCUCAGCAAAGCGUCUUCGUUGGAGCAAACAACCCUGCAUUCUGGACACCGAUUGUGCGCCUCCUUUAAAUAUAAAACUUUGUGAAACAUAAAAAUAUAUUUAACAUUUAUUUUUCAUCAUUUUAACCAAUAAAUACCUACUAAACAAGAACUUUGACAUUAACUUAGAUAAGAAAACAUAUAUAUUAUUUUCAAUUAAAUUGUUAAACAAGA